rnacentral:rRNA from 1 species
CAGUAGCCGCGGGAAUACGAAGGGGGCUAGCGUUGUUCGGAAUUACUGGGCGUAAAGCGCACGUAGGCGGAUAUUUAAGUCAGGGGUGAAAUCCCGCAGCUCAACUGCGGAACUGCCUUUGAUACUGGGUAUCUUGGGUAUGGAAGAGGUUAGUGGAAUUGCGAGUGUAGAGGUGAAAUUCGUAGAUAUUCGGAAGAACACCAGUGGCGAAGGCGGCUUACUGGCUCAUUCUAGACGCUGAGGUGCGAAAGCGUGGGGAGCAAACAGGAUUAGAUACCCGAGUAGUCCCUGUCUCUUAUAC